UGACUUUCAUCUGACAGAAAGUGUACAAAAUGUUUUGAGGGAUCAAGUGCAGCCAACCCAAGAAUUGAUGGGUUGGACUGGUUUUCAUUCUCAUAAGAGCAGACAGUUACCUACCAGCAAAAGUUCAGGGAUUGACUAUGGCCAACCCAAGACAUGAUGAAAACAUCCUAUGAAUCAUCUGAGCUGUCUUGAUAGUUGCGGAAGGAAGAAAGUUCGGCAACACAUCAAAAUAAAUUCAUGUUAUGGAUCAUUAGAAAUGAAAGGAGAGACUGUUGAAGGAGAUAUAGAACUCUAUUUCGAACUAGUGUGAAGGAUUUGUGACCUUUUAUUAUGAAUCUGAGACCCUAUGUGAAGGAUCUGUUACCUACAUAUAGUGUGAAAAAUUGUUUACCUCGUAUGAAGGAUCUGUGACCUUGUGAAGGUUCUUGACCUUUCGUGAAGGUUUUGUGACCCAAUGAAAAGGUUCUGCUGCCUUGUGUUAAGGAUAUGUAACCUUGUUUGAAGGAUCUGUGACCUUGUGUGAAAGAUCUGUGACCUUAUGUGAAGGAUAUGUGACCUUCUGCGAAGACCUUGUGUGAAGGAUGUGUGACCUUGUGAGAAGGAUAUUGCAUUUUCCGGUCUUUGUUCCUUCCUUUCUUUUGUUGCUGUUUUGAACCAAAAAACGUAUGUGCUAUUAUCACCCCAGCAGUUAAUUUCUUUGUUACACCAGUUGACGUAUUUACCAGUUUAUAGUUCUAUCAAAUGAAUGCGAUGUCUUGCAUUCACCCUUCGACUUCCAUUAUUUUUUGUUGGACACAUGUGUGACUUUUUAUCCAUACGAUUAUACUCUAGCCUUUGAUGUUUAAUGCUGUUUGGAAAAUUUAUGAUGAGUGCAGUAUAACAAUUUUUUGUGUUAUGUAGUAUUAGCAAAACUUAACUGCCCUAACAACAUGUAAACAAUGUUAUGGAAACGUUUUGUAACUAAGUGUUCGUUAUUUAG